rnacentral:rRNA from 1 species
UACGGAGGGAGCUAGCGUUGUUCGGGAUUACUGGGCGUAAAGCGCACGUAGGCGGCUUUGUAAGUUAGAGGUGAAAGCCCGGAGCUCAACUCCGGAACUGCCUUUAAGACUGCAUCGCUUGAAUCCAGGAGAGGUGAGUGGAAUUCCGAGUGUAGAGGUGAAAUUCGUAGAUAUUCGGAAGAACACCAGUGGCGAAGGCGGCUCACUGGACUGGUAUUGACGCUGAGGUGCGAAAGCGUGGGGAGCAAACAGG